AACGAACGCUGGCGGCAUGCCUAACACAUGCAAGUCGAACGAGACCUUCGGGUCUAGUGGCGCACGGGUGCGUAACGCGUGGGAAUCUGCCCUUGGGUUCGGGAUAACAGUUGGAAACGACUGCUAAUACCGGAUGAUGACUUCGGUCCAAAGAUUUAUCGCCCAGGGAUGAGCCCGCGUCGGAUUAGCUAGUUGGUGAGGUAAGAGCUCACCAAGGCGACGAUCCGUAGCUGGUCUGAGAGGAUGAUCAGCCACACUGGGACUGAGACACGGCCCAGACUCCUACGGGAGGCAGCAGUGGGGAAUAUUGGACAAUGGGCGAAGGCCUGAUCCAGCAAUGCCGCGUGAGUGAUGAAGGCCGUAGGGUUGUAAAGCGCUUUUACCCGGGAUGAUAAUGACGGUACCGGGAGAAUAAGCCCCGGCUAACUCCGUG
rnacentral:rRNA from 1 species